GGUGUCUCUCGGGCUGACUUUUGAAGGUCUGGAGCUGGCCGUUUAUGAGGGUUUAUAAGGGUUUUAAGCGCUCCGGCCAUGGGCACCAACCCGAUCUUCCAGCCCCUGCGGACGGACUGCCCCCCCCCCGCCCCGGGGGGAUUGGCUGCUCUGGGACCCCGAGCCCAGAGGGCAGUGAGAAGCUGACAAACCUUAAAUACAGACCAGAAGAGGAGUUUGGGGCUUGACACCUGACAUCUUAACACCAGUUCCUGUUUCUUGAGGAAGGAAGAGGUAAAAUAAAUCAGCGUUUACUGUGUAGUUCUCCAUCCCCAGAAGUCCUGAUGAAGACCCUCUCAGCUUCUACUUGAACGUGAAUAUGAGCAACUGAUCAUCUGUUCUGAAGUCAGCCCCUGGCCUGAUUCUGACUCAUGGUAUUGACCUUCUCCAUCAUCACCUUCCACAAAUUUGAUUCCUAUCUAUUCUGCCUGGAAUGGUUCACGAGUAUAAUCACCAUUUAUGUUCCUGACGAAAGCAGGUGAAGACAUUCGUUGAGAGAGGCAAUUUCCAUGCGUGCAGGCAAAGUGUGUGCUGAGAUGAUGAGUUGCUGGAGACCAGGGUGGACUCUUCAGACCCAGAAUAGGCCUCUGGCAGGCAUUCUAUCAGGCACUCCAAGCUGUGAAGUGCAUGGGGGGAGAAAGAAGAGAUUUCAGAGAAUGAACACAUACAGAGAGAGAGGCAAGAGAUGGUGAGUGGGGAUGUCUUGCAUACUGAUAUCCUGAGGAAAGUGGGAAAAUUGGACCCUGGCUUGCUCUGCCAAUGCCGUGAAGCAGUCCGCACCAGGGGCUCCCUUGUGCCUGCAUAGCCUUUCCCAGGGUGUGCUCAAAUCCUUUGGCCACUAGGUGUCCUAGGUCACAAUGGAGGACCCUGUGUCAUCUGCCUGGUGGACUGGAUCUCUGCCAUUGGCUAAGUCUUGUCACCAGGCCCAUCAUAAGCUCUGCCCACUCUUCCGGUGGGGAGACUCUCUCCAUGGUGAUGGCAAAGAAACCUUAGUCCCGCCCACCUGGCCUUGACUUCACCUACCUGGCCUGCUGACCCUCACCCAGACCUCUGUGUGGAUGAAAAUGAAUGUCCACCAGUGGCCCAGUGUCAGCGUCUGGUAUAAAGGAUUCGGGACGUUUCCUGAGGCAGAAGGCAGCCUACGUCUGCGGGUACCUGGAAGUCUAGUGACUUGUGAUGCUGCUGCCAGUGAGAAAUGGUGACUCCCACACUCACAUAUCCCCUGGUGGCAGAAUGAUAGUGAUGGGUGGAGAAACAUGGCUCCGGAGCACAUGUUCAGUGGGGCACCGGCCAAAUGUCAGGGCCAGGAGUGGACGUCGUGGAGCUGCAUGGCGUGCCAGUGAAGGGCCCAAGGAUUUCUCCAAUGAGGCAAAAUGCAGAUCAAGCCAAGGAACACAAAGAUAAAGCAGCUGAAGAAAUUAAAAAGGUUACUCAAGAACAUAGUUAAAAAUUUAAUAAGCUGCAAGAAACCAUAGAGAGACUGCAAUCAGAGAUUCAGAAGAUUAACAAUAAAAUUACAGAGUCAGAAAACUCAAUAGAAAGUAAUAAGAGCACAAUUGAGGAAUUGGAAGGCAGAAUUACUGAGAUGGAAGAUCAAACUCUUGGGACUAAUAUAUUUGAAGAGAAAGCAGAUAAAAGAAUUUUAAAUGAAGAAAUCCAAAGAAUCAUGUGGGACUUUAUCAAGAGAAAUAACUAUGAGUGAUUUCAGUACCAGAACAGGGAGGGCUAACAGAAAAUACAGAGGGAACUGUUGAAGAUUUGUUGGCAGAACUUCCCUGAUAUCAUGAAAGAUGCUCAUCGAAUUCCACAUACGGUAGAUCUCAAAAGAAAGUGACCGAGACACAUAAUAAUCAAACUUGCCAAAAUCAAAUAUAAAGAGAAUUUUAAGAGAGGCUAGGGAUAAAGGAAGUCACCAACAAAGGAGAGUAAAUAAUAAAAAACUUGGACUACUCAGCAGAAAUCAUGCAGGCAAGAAGGCAAAGGGAUGACUUACACAAAAUAUUGAAGGAAAAAAAUUGCCAGCCAGGAAUCAAACCAUAACCCUGGCCCUCUGGCCUUCGGGCCCUCUGGCCUUAGCCCUCUAACUCUAGCCCCUAAGCCCUGAGCCCCAAAGCCCCUAAGACCCUAAGCCCUUAGGUCCUAACCCCCAAGGCCCUAAACUCUAACCCUAACCCAAACCCUAACCCCUAUUCCCUAAACUCUACAACCUAAACACCUACACCCCAAAACACUACACAUCAAAACCCUACACACUAAACCCUAUACUCUAAGCCUCAAACCCUAAACCCAAACCUCAAAUCCCAAACCCCAAACCCUAAACCUAACCGUAAACCCUAAACCCUAACACCUAACCCUAACCCCUAACCACCCUAACCCUAAUGACCCUAACCCUCGAACCCUAACCCUCUAACGCUAACAUGAAACCCUAAUCCGAAACCCUAACCCUCUAACUCUAACCUCUAACCCUAACCCUCUAACCCUAGCCCUAAUCCUAACCCCAACCUCCAAACCUAACCCCAAACCCUAAACCUCAAAUCCCUAGCCCUAAACCUAAGAAUGAGCCUAAGCCUAACCCUAUCACUUAACUCUAAACCCUAAACCAUAACACUUAAAACCCUAACACCCUUAGCCCUAACACAUUUAACCCUAACACCCUAAACGCCAAAACCCUAAACACUAACACCCUUAACUCCAACCCCUAACCCCUAAACCCUAAGCUUAAACACUAAACCGUCUAACCCUCUAACCCUAAUACCCUAAACCCUAACCCCAGCCCCCAGCCUUAACGCUCACUCUAAGCCUUAAACCUUAAGCCCUAAACCCUAGGCUCUAAGCCCUAAGCCCUAAACUCUAAAUCCUAAAACCCUAAACUCUAAGCCCUAAGCCUAACCCUCUAAUCCUAAACCCUAAAACCUUACCCCAAACCCAUCCCAAACCCCUAAACCUGAACCCCUAAGCCCUAGCCCUAACCCUAAUCCUCUAAGCCUAACCCUCUAACCCUAACUCUCUAACCCUAACCACAACACCAACCCCAACCUCUGAACCCAAAAACCCUAACCCCCUAACCCCAAGCUUCUGAACCCUAAGCCUAAACCCUCUAACCCUAAAUCCUAACCUUCACCCCCUCACACCCUCACCUUCUCACUCCCUCACUCUAUAAUCUUCUCAACUUCUAACCCCCUCACCCUCUAACCCCUCACCCUCUAACUCCCUCAAUCUCUAACCCCCAACCCUCUAGACCCCAACCCUCUAACACCCACCCUCUAACCCCAAACCACAUAUCCCAAACAGACCCAACACCAACCCCAACCCUAAACCUAAACCCUGACCCCUAAAACCUAAACCAAACCCUAACGACUAAACCCCAAAACCCUAAACCCCAAACUGCAACCCCUAACACCUAACCUUAACUCCAAACUCUAACCUCAAACCCUAAACCUAACCCUAACACCUAACCCCAACCAAAAAACCCUAACCCUAAACUCUAACCCCAAACCCUAACGACCCUAACUCUAACAACCCUAACCUUAACAUCCCUAAGCCCAAACCCUAACCCUUUUUGUUAGCAGCCAUAGCACUUAACCACUAGCCACCAGGGUUUCCAUGAGCAGUCACAGGAAUAGACACAUGCACACCCGUGUUCACUGCAACAUUAUUCACAGUUGCAAAAAGAUGGAAACAACCUAAGUGCUCGUCCACAGAGGAAUGGAUAAACAAACUACGGUACAUACACAGUGGAACACUACACGACAAUAAAGACCAAUGAUGAAUCUCCGAAACAUCUCACACCAUGGAUGAAUCUGGGGCGCAUCACACUAAGUCAAUCACAAAACGUCAUAUACAGUAAGAGACCACUAUCAUAAAAACUCAUGAAAACAUUUACGCACAGAAACAAUCCUUGAUGUUCACCAGGGAGACGAAGAGCGGGUAGAGAAAAGCCAACUAAACAAUAACCAAAAAAACCAAACCCACUGCUGUCGAGUUGAUUCCAGCUCAUAGCGACCCUACAGGACAGAUUAGAACUGCCCCCAUAGAGUUUCCAAGGAGUGCUUGGUGGAUUCGAACUGCAGACCUUUGGUUAGCACCGGUGGCUCUUAACCACUACGCCACCAGGGUUUCCAACCAAACAACAGAUCGGUGGUAACUCUGGCGAAGGAAAGACGGUACACAAGACUGGGGAAUCAAUCUCAGCCUCACUCUAACCCUAACCCUAAACCACUUGUGCCCGAGCCUAGUAACCCCAGCCCUAACCCCAACCCCCAACCACCUAAAACCUGUACCCCUAAACCUAACUCCCAAACCUCUAACCCCCAAACCUGGACCCCUAACACCAAACCCUAACCCCUAACCCUAAUCCUCUAACCCUUCUGCAUCUCUGGGCCUCUCGACUCUCCGUCUAUUUUCUUCCUCCAAAUCCUACUAACACUCAGUGGAAUUUUGAAGUUUGAGCUGUGCUUUGCUUCUUGUUGUCUCCACCGGUCCCAUCAAGGCACUGCAUCAUUUGCUCUGCUUCACUAUUCAGUUCCAAAACCAUGGCUUAGAAUCGCCUGACACUGGACUUCAGCGAUUCGGUGCAAGGCCGCGAGAGGGCGCGCGCACCGCCGGUUCUGUUCUGCCCACCAGGCCCUCUGAGCAUGGGAACCUCCUGGACCUAAGCCCGGACG